rnacentral:rRNA from 1 species
GACGAACGCUGGCGGCGUGCUUAACACAUGCAAGUCGAACGAAGUGGCGAACAGGUGAGUAACGCGUAAUCAACCUGCCCUUCAGAGGGGGACAACAGUUGGAAACGACUGCGAAUACCGCAUACUGAAGGAGGGGUUUGCGUCUGAUUAGCUAGUUGGAGGGGGAACGGCACACCGAGGCGAUGAUAAGUAGCCGGUCUGAGAGGAAGAACGGCCACAUUGGAGCUGGGACACGGCCCAGACUCCUACGGGAGGCAGCAGUGGGGAGUCUUCCGCAAUGGGCGAAAUUCUGACGGAGCAACGCGGCGUGGGAGAUGACGGCCUUCGGGUUGUAAAGCUCUGUUAAUCGGGACGCGUUACCGGAAUAGAAAGCCACGGCUAACUACGUGCCAGCAGCCGCGGUAAUAC